rnacentral:rRNA from 1 species
AUUGAACGCUGGCGGCAGGCUUAACACAUGCAAGUCGAGCGGAGAGAGGUAGCUUGCUACUGAUCUUAGCGGCGGACGGGUGAGUAGUGCUUAGGAAUCUGCCUAUUAGUGGGGGACAACAUUUCGAAAGGAAUGCUAAUACCGCAUACGUCCUUCGGGAGAAAGCAGGGGAUCUUCGGACCUUGCGCUAAUAGAUGAGCCUAAGUCGGAUUAGCUAGUUGGUGGGGUAAAGGCCUACCAAGGCGACGAUCUGUAGCGGGUCUGAGAGGAUGAUCCGCCACACUGGGACUGAGACACGGCCCAGACUCCUACGGGAGGCAGCAGUGGGGAAUAUUGGACAAUGGGCGGAAGCCUGAUCCAGCCAUGCCGCGUGUGUGAAGAAGGCCUUAUGGUUGUAAAGCACUUUAAGCGAGGAGGAGGCUACUUUAGUUAAUACCUAGAGAUAGUGGACGUUACUCGCAGAAUAAGCACCGGCUAACUCUGUGCCAGCAGCCGCGGUAAAAC